GAAAUGCGAUAAGUAGUGUGAAUUGCAGAAUUUAGCGAAUCAUCGAAUCUUUGAACGCACAUUGCGCCCCUUGGUAUUCCAUGGGGCAUGCCUGUUCGAGCGUCAUUUCAACCCUCAAGCACUGCUUGGUGUUGGGCGUUUGUCCCGCCUACGCGCGUGGACUCGCCUCAAAGUCAUUGGCAGCUGUUCCCCUUCGGCUCGUAAGCGCAGCACAGUCGGCGCCCGGAGCUCUGGUGGGAUGGCGUCCAGCAAGCUAUAUUUUCAGGCUUGACCUCGGAUCAGGUAGGGAUACCCGCUGAACUUAAGC
rnacentral:misc_RNA from 1 species